ACUAGCUGGACCCAGGGCAAUCAGAACCUCCUCACCCUUCUCCUGUCCUUGGGUUGUACGUGUGGCCCACCAUUCCCACACUAGGAGCUGUUUCAAGAACAUAGCCUUGAGAGAGUAAGAUGUUGGGACCAUCUGGACUGAAUGCAUGACUGACCCCGUUAAGGCCUCUAUAAAACUUAAGAUCCUGGGGGGUAAGGGCAGAGAUCUACUCAUCUUGCAGCCACCCAAGACAAACUUCGUUUGUAAGUUCCCUGGUUUAUUAAAACUGCCACCUCCCAAUCUGGAUCCGCCUCUCCCCUUGGUUUCUCCUGGUCCUCCAUGUUAGGGGGCCAGCUAGUUUCAGAUUUCACCCAGAAAGCUCCGGAGUUUUCGAACCAACGCCAAUCUAAUCAUAGGGGUUCUUAAAAGUGGAGAACAUUUUCCAGCUACAGUCAAUCAGAGAUUCAACAAGAGAAGGACCUAACCCACUGUUGCUGGCUUUGAAGAUGGAGGAAGGAGACCAUAAACCAAAGAAUGUGAAUGUCUCAAGAAGCUGCUUCUGGAGGAAACAGAUUCUCCGCCAGAGCCUCCAGAAGGAUCACAGCUCUGCAGACGCCUUGAUUUUGCCCAGUGAGACCCAUGCUGGACUUCCAACCUGCAGAACUCAAAGUCUACAUUCCUAUCUUGGAGAAUUUCAAAACAAGAGAUACACUCUGUACAUACCUGAAGGGAAAUCGCAAGCAAUCAUAAGUAAAAGAGCAACAAAACCCCAGCAACACGAAAGAAAUGUUACUCAACUCUUUCAGAAGGGCGACGUCUCGUAGAAGAAGAUAAGAAACAACCUUACAGUGGGAGAAUCUUCCAGGUAAUAAUCAGCUUGAAAGAAUUUGUUUUGCUCUCUCCCUCUGAGUUAAAGAAGGUCUCAAAAGCCACUCUGACCCCAGCUGUAGAGGCAUUUCUGUAGGAUUCUCUUGAUGAGCUGUUUGCUGCAGGCAUUUUGCAGAGCACAGAGGGAACUUGAAUUCAUCACUGCAGUGCUGGAACAGAGGCUAGAAACAGAAAUAUCUAAAGUGAAAUGAAUGUAAUCAAUGGCACUGUGUAGUCACGGGGAAAGGGUCUGUAUGUUAAGAAUGAUCUAUAAGCAAAGUCAGGCAGUAAGGUGACAAGUAAUUUUGGAAUUGGCAUUUCUGACUGCAGUGUCCUCCUUAGGGGCUGCUUGCCUCAUAACAAUACAUGAGAAAUACACCCACAGCCCAAAUUGAGGUGCAAGGCCUUCUAUUCACACUGUGCAAAGUGGUGUCUAAAAUCUUUUUUGUGUCCCUUGGCCCCAGACACCUGGGGUUAUAAAAGAGUUGUAUUGGAGACAAAGAGAAUUUCAACCUUCCUUGCCAGCAUGGAGGAAGGGUGGCAGUUUCUUCUCUCGUACCUCUGCCCUAUUGAGAACAGCUCCCUAGGGAUGGAGUGCUCCACAAAAUAAAAAAAAUCCGCUUUAUACAUAUUCCAGUCCCACUAAACAGUGUAGCUACUCACACCAGUGAUAGCACAAUGGGAUCUUUCCCUCCCCUUAAGAGGCUGGAAACAUCAGAAAAGUUGAGCCUGUCUUCCUCCUCGCUUUCCCAUUUCCAGACAGCACCAGACUUGAGUGAGAGGAGAAAGUAUCUUUGAAUAACUUCAGACGUUUGAUUAUUAUACUGGACUGGAAAUAUUAACUACAGAACUGAAACUUUUUUUUUUUUUUACCAAAAUGGCGUGGGGGUUUCUUGCGGUCUAAGAGUGAGCAAAUAAGCUUUGGGACUAGGUGGAGAUUUUACUCUGGAGUGGAAGAAAUCUAUCCCCAUAGAGCAGAUUUCAACAGGUGUGGGGAAAACAUAUGUGCUUUAUGAUGAUACUGCAUGAGUCCUGGCCUUUCAACACCCUCUAUAAGCUUUUCCUUUGCCUAAGAAAUGUGUGUAUCCAGAGAAAAAGCCCUUCAUCUCUCAUUCUCUCAGAUUUUUCUCUUACUAACCUGUUUGUGUUGAUCUCCUCCAGCUGCCAACUUUCUAGAUUAAACUUUGACUUUUUAUUGUGAAUACCCUUUUUUCAGUUGUUCUGAUCUUUGCUGGUUGGGGUAGCUUCCUGAUUAGCGCAGCUCUUCAGCCACAGAUGGAUGCAAUUGUAGAAGAGAGAUGUUCGUGCUGAGUCAUGGUCUGAGCUAAUUAGCCCCGGACUCUGCAAGUAUAGCAUCCCUCACAGAGUAUUACUGACCCACAUACAUCUAAUCCCAAACACCAUUUAGGAAAAUGAAUCUGGUUAGCAAGAAAAGCUACACAUCAGGCCCAUGAAUGAUUUACACUUCCUCACUUGAUCUCUCCACUUGCCUCGCUUUGCUAUAGAACUAAAGGGAAGGGCUGCCCUUGACACAGUUGCUCAAUUUUCUGUCUUAUUGGAGUUUAUUUUAUUUUCUGACUUAUAAGAAAAAUAAAAGGACUGCUCUGAUCAUGACAUUGUAAGUCAUAUGAAGAAGAUAUCUUUUUCCAAUAGACGAAAUUUGUUCUUUCAGAAAUUUGUAACAUACAGCAUUAAACUGUCAAGAUUCCCUCACCUAACAGUAUAUUUUGUUCAGUUCACCAUUUACAUGUGUAUUGGGAAUGCACAUUCAACAGUAUUGCCAGCCAGGGCGCACACACACACAAAUGAUGGUGUCACUUUGGAAACUGAAGUGUCUAUUAAAUUUGCUGUGGAAUUUUUUACAUUAUAUGCAAGAAGCCAUAAUUGUGGUCCUAGUCUUACAUUAGAAAUAUUGAAUCAGUAUUUAGGGAGCUUCAACGCACAUUGAUACAUUUUUAAAGGGUUCGGAAGGCAUUAUCUACUGUAAAAUGUAAAUGUGGAAAGUUGAUUUCAGUUUCUGCUGGGCAAUAUUCACAUAUUCUCCAAUCUGUGCAGUGGAACUGGAACUCUGAUCCUUUUGUGCAUUGAUGGGGGUCUUUAGUUCCUGAACCUCAUGGUAGACCAUCUACGGAACUACUCUCCUUACUGCUGCAGAAUAAAGAUUUAGAAUGAGUUAAACCAUCUCUUGCCUCUUCUUGAGAGUUGCUCCUUUUGGAUUGUUACCUACUUUGCUCUCUUCCUUUUCUGUUGGAGGAAGAGGAGACAGCAGUAAAAAGGAAAAAGUGAGGGGGCCAAUUAGGGAGAGUGUGGAAGACUUGACUCCCUCCAUUUAAAGCACAGUGCUGUUAGCAAAAGUGAACUACUUCACUGCUCCU
rnacentral:lncRNA from 1 species